CUACGGGAGGCAGCAGUGGGGAAUAUUGGGCAAUGGGCGCAAGCCUGACCCAGCAACGCCGCGUGAGGGAAGAAGGUUUUCGGAUUGUAAACCUCUGUCCUUGGGGACGAAGAAGUGACGGUACCCAAGGAGGAAGCUCCGGCUAACUACGGUGCCAGCAGCCGCGGUAAUACGUAGGGAGCAAGCGUUGUCCGGAAUUACUGGGCGUAAAGGGUGCGUAGGCGGCAUAUUAAGUCAGGUGUGAAAUACUCGGGCUCAACCCGGGGGCUGCAUUUGAAACUGAUAUGCUUGAGUGUGAGAGAGGAAAGUGGAAUUCCUAGUGUAGCGGUGGAAUGCGUAGAUAUUAGGAGGAACACCAGUGGCGAAGGCGACUUUCUGGCUCAUAACUGACGCUGAGGCACGAAAGCGUGGGGAGCAAACAGGAUUAGAUACCCGCGUAGUC
rnacentral:rRNA from 1 species